rnacentral:rRNA from 1 species
UACGUAGGGUGCGAGCGUUGUCCGGAAUUAUUGGGCGUAAAGAGCUCGUAGGUGGUUUGUUACGUCUGCUGUGAAAACCUAGGGCUUAACCCUGGGCUUGCAGUGGAUACGGGCAGACUAGAGGUAGGUAGGGGAGAAUGGAAUUCCUGGUGUAGCGGUGAAAUGCGCAGAUAUCAGGAGGAACACCGGUGGCGAAGGCGGGUCUCUGGGCCGAUACUGACGCUGAGGAGCGAAAGCGUGGGGAGCGAACAGG